CAGACUCCUACGGGAGCAGCAGUGGGGAAUCUUGCGCAAGUGGUACGAAAGUCUGACGGCAGCAACGCCGCGUGAGGGACGAAGGCUUUCUGAGUUGUAAACCCUUUCGACAGGAACGAGUUGUGACGGUACCUGUAGAACGAAGCACCGGCCAACUACGUGCCAGCAGCCGCGGUAAUAC
rnacentral:rRNA from 1 species